AUUUGUUAGAUUGACAAGGCAAGGACACGUAACAGGACUGGCCGAUAUCCACAAGAAAAUUUUGGCACACACUCCGGUUAAAAUAAAAAGAUUUGUAAUUUAGUGACCCACCGAAUAGGCAUUUUUUUAGCGAGAAAAAAAGGUAUUGCAAAACUCGUCCUUGAUGUCUUCUAAAAUACAUUGUAUUUUUAGAAAUUUUUCUCACAACAUACAUUUUUUACAACUACCUUGUAUUUUUCAAGUAUUUUACACCCAAAGUAAUCUAGAUCUUCAAGGCAAUAUGACUAAAAGCUACAACACCUAUAACCUAUAGAUGACGAAGCUUUCAUUUCAAGCCGUUAACAAUUCACUCUGUGUACCUUCAGUCAUAUAUAAUCAUUUCAUCGCUGUGAUUUUGUUGCUAUAAAUACAAAUUCAUGUACAUCGCGAUAUUCGCUUAUCUGUAUGACAGUUUGACUGAUGGGUGAUCUGUCGAGAACUAAUUUUCCAGUUUUAUUUUCAGUGAUAUCAAUAUACAAUAAAAAUUUCGCAGCCCAUGGGUCAAGAUAUUACAUUGUGUACACUCAUAUUUCUUUGGACAUCUAGGUUACAUUAGGUGUAAAAUAUUUUUAAACUA